AGCAGCCGCGGUAAUUCCAGCUCCAAUAGCGUAUAUUAAAGUUGUUGUGGUUAAAAAGCUCGUAGUUGAAUUUCGGGAUUAAUUUAUUGGUCGUGCUAUUGUACGUACUGGUAUUAUUGAUUCCUACCUUCUGACGAACCAUGAUGUCAUUAAUUUGGUGUUGCGGGGAAUCAGGACUGUUACUUUGAAAAAAU
rnacentral:rRNA from 1 species